CCUGCCAGGGCAGCAGAAAUCUAUUAGCGCGCGCGCGCGCUCAACUCUCCCAUUUCCCAUUCCUCAUGUCUCUCUCUCUCUCUCUCUCUCUCCUCCUUUCCCUUCCCGUCUCGGAGGGUGGUGGAGGGAGAGGCAUCAGCUUGGAGAUGAAAAAUUGCUCGCGGUCUAUUCAGGAGGAGGCAAAGGAAGAGUCAGCCCCAGGGGCAGCCCAGGGCUGAUUGAAAAAUAAGUUAAUUUCAGUUUGAAUCGAUGGGCCUCAGGCACUGAAAUAUCACGGGAAAUUAAAGCGGCUGCUCCCCGGGGAUCGGCGCCAUUGACCCGCGCUAAUUAAUGCCGUGGCGGUGAAGUUCCCGCUCGCUUCUGCACGAGGCGGGCGCCCCCUCCCUUCAGUGCCACAACCCCACGCGCUCACGCCACCAGCUUUUUCUCAUUUAACUAAUUAGGCUGGAAAAUUGGGUGUUAAUUUGUUUAGGAAUCUCGGUGGCUUUUUUUUUUAACUCCCUCCCUCCCUCCGCUGCCUCCUCUUCCUUUUCUCUCUCUUUCUCUCUGCUUUCCCUUUCCAGGGAAAGCAGCCGCCGUCCCUGGCGGAAUGGAAAUGAAUGGUGGGAGCUCGCUGGCAGAUGGAUGCUCGGGGGUCACUCCGCAAUCUUCUCCGACUUGAUUGCUUGAUUAGGUCGUUAGCACAUUAAAAAAAAAAAUUGCUCGCCGUCUGGCGCUGGCCUGAUGAGUGGGACGAGGCGGGAAUCGCCUGGUGAAUAUUCUCACUCCUGGAACAUACACUGGAAAGAUACAGAGGAUAAUUUACCAACUGGCAAAUUACCAUGUGUAUGAAAUUUCUUGGUAAACCAAUUAUUUGCCAAACGGAGAGAAAAUUUUUACCAUCCAGAUGUGUGGUAAACUAGAAAUCUACUGUAACUGGAAAUCCAGGGAAUCAAAGGAACGAGCAAUGUCUCCUACUCAGAGGAGGACAUGGACUAAAGAUUCAGGUUCCAGAAAGAAGAACCCUGUUGGCCACAAUCUCCUGAAUGCAGCGGAGCUCCAGAAGUGCACCAAUGAAGUCAUGCAGAGCACAACCAACCAUCUUUGUUGGUAAAUACUAGGCAUGCCACUUCGCUUGUUCGUAUCAAACAAAUGUAUGAUGUUUUAAAGUUUUAUUUAUGGGUAAUUUUAAUCUGCUUUACAUGAUUUUUAGGUUUUAGUUUUUGUUUGUUUAAUUUGUAAACCUCCCUGAGAUUUUUUAAUUGGGUGGUAUAUAAAAAUGAAUGAAUAGAUAGACAAAUAAAUAGAUAAAUUUAAAAAACAAAAACACUCUUGACUCAUUCUUUUUUGCAAGGUCAGAGCCUGGGUACAUAGAGCAAGACAGAAACUGGGGCUGAGUCCCCAUGCAACUUCCUACAUGGUAUGACCACAUGAAUCCCCUGGUGUUAUCCCAAGGAUCAAGUGAAUUCGAAGAUGUAGAUUACAUGGGGAUUACCCCUGGGAGAGUAGAGAGCAGGGCUUAGGUAUUCAAAACUUCCACUGGAAUCACUGGAACCAAGGACUUCUGUAUGCAUUUAAGCUUCACUGAUAUCAAUGGGACUUAUUUCAUCACAUACAGAGUUUUAGACAUCUUUCCCCCUCAGAAGCAGAAGGGCUUGUGACUGUCUUGAGGGAGUGUUCUCCAAGCUGAUAAAUUCCCCACUCUUUUUGUUCAAGCCCUCCUCCCCCACUCGUCACAGAGUUCCAUUACCUCUGCCCACAUGCGUAUAUGUUAACUGUCUGAGCUGAUACACAUUCUGCCCCUUUGACUAACAUGGGGCAUUCUGGGGUUUCAUUUGGCCUCCUUAGGGGUUCCCCCCCCUUCGGACCAAUAUAGCUGUGGGUCACAGAGUCUGCUGCUACCAGGUACUCUGGUUCUCUCUCUAUAAGAGUUCAAAAAUUCAGCACUCUUGGAAAUAUUAUAUAGUGUUGUCCUUGUGCCCAGAUCCCUCGCCAGCUCCCUAAGGCUGGCCUUUCUCCCUGCCCCAAUUCAUGAACCCAUGUGGUUAUUGG